AUUGAACGCUGGCGGCAUGCCUUACACAUGCAAGUCGAACGGCAGCGGGGACUUCGGUCCGCCGGCGAGUGGCGAACGGGUGAGUAAUGUAUCGGAACGUACCAUUGAGUGGGGGAUAACGUAGCGAAAGUUACGCUAAUACCGCAUAUUCUCUCCGGAGGAAAGCAGGGGACCGCAAGGCCUUGCGCUCUUUGAGCGGCCGAUAUCAGAUUAGCUAGUUGGUGAGGUAAAAGCUCACCAAGGCGACGAUCUGUAGCGGGUCUGAGAGGAUGAUCCGCCACAAUGGAACUGAGACACGGUCCAGACGCCUACGGGAGGCAGCAGUGGGGAAUUUUGGACAAUGGGGGCAACCCUGAUCCAGCCAUGCCGCGUGAGUGAAGAAGGCCUUCGGGUUGUAAAGCUCUUUCGGCCGGGAAAAAAUCGCAUGGGUUAAUACCCUGUGUGGAUGAUGGUACCGGAAUAAGAAGCACCGGCUAACUACGUGCCAGCCGCCGCAGUAACAC
rnacentral:rRNA from 1 species